GUGCGCGUGCGCAGUGUGUUUUCUCUGUAAUUCUGGGCCGUGUUCCGGAAGCCUCGUAAGACAAAAGCGAACGAGAGGCGGAAAAAAGGAAGACGCUUCCUGAAGUUGGGGAUGCUGGACUAGUUUUCAUACUAGAUCCCCUCGUGGCAGCAUUAAGGAACUUCACAUUCUUCUCACACUAUUCAUGGAAAGUUCCUGGAACUCCCACAGCAGCAAGAAAACUUCGCUUGUAGGAGUCCUUAGCACAUCUGUAAAGUUUUAUUGGCCAAAAUGUGAUACAUCUCCAUUUCUGGAUCAGUCACUGUGGUCAAGUGCAAGACGCUCUACAGGACUCAACCUGGGGAUGAGGUCUGUCUACUCCAUCCAUAUGGUCACUUUAUACUGAGGUUGGACAGUGUUCACCAUCCUUUAAAAUCUGGCAUCAUCCUUAAUUUACCACUUAAGACUUUAAAAAAAAAAAAGAAAAAAAGGAGGGGGAGAAACGUGAAAGGAAAAUAAAUACUCGGGACUCCAACUCACUAUGCCAAAAGAAAAAAAUUAAGCUGAACACUGAGUCAUGGUUGCUGCUUUUUAAGAGAUGAAAAGAUCCAAGGUGUGACACAGAAUGGAUGACUGGAGUGGAAAAAAUGAAAAUGUCAUUGGAAUAUGGAAGUAAAGAAACUGAGAAGCUGAGAGUUUUUGCAUCAUCCAGUCAGGUAUGGAAAUCACCAAGGAUAAAGGAAGGAACUGGGUUAGAAUGGAAGACCUUUUGCCAGGAAUGGAAGACUUCAGUAAAUGAAGAGAUUUGACUAGGAUGUUGGCAGAAGAUAGUGAGAAGGUCUAAGAAAGGGUGGUAUAUCCAGAUGACAUAAACAUCAAAAGAACGGUGAUUUUUGCAGGAGGGAAGGGGUGAAAUAAUUUGAAAGUAGCAAUGGGAGAGAGCAAGGAAUGCACCUACCUCCAAUCCUGGCCCUGACAUUCUCUCAGGGACCAGAUAGGUUUCAACUAAGGUAAGGCAAGGAGAUGAUGGGAAAAUGAGGGAAAGGGGACUGGACUGCUGAACACAGAUGAGAGUCACAUGAAACACUAGAAGGGUUUAUUUAGGGAGGGGGAGAAGUGGAGAGAAUAACAGUUUGUGGAUUAUGAUUUUAUGAGAAAAAGAAGGACUUAGAGAGGCUGGAACUUCUGCAGAUUAGUGAGCUACACAGGGAUGUGAAGCAUGAUUGGCUUGAACCUGGUAGUCUCAUCUUGUCAUCCUCUUAGUGGUGUGUGCAGCCUAAGGCAUUAAAUUAUGGUGCAGCCUCUGGGCUAAUAGUUACUCUCUCAACAGUGGAGAGUUCUACAUAAUUUGCCAUAAUUAGAUACAUUACCUUAGAGAAAGUGCUAAACCCUUCAAAAUCCCAGUUGCUUAAUCUAUG
rnacentral:lncRNA from 10 species